UAGGGAAUCUUCCACAAUGGACGCAAGUCUGAUGGAGCAACGCCGCGUGAGUGAAGAAGGUUUUCUGAUCGUAAAGCUCUGUUGUUGGUGAAGAAGGAUAGAGGCAGUAACUGGUCUUUAUUUGACGGUAAUCAACCAGAAAGUCACGGCUAACUACGUGCCAGCAGUCGCGGUAAUACGUAGGUGGCAAGCGUUGUCCGGAUUUAUUGGGCGUAAAGCGAGCGCAGGCGGAAUGAUAAGUCUGAUGUGAAAGCCCACGGCUCAACAGUGGAACUGCAUCGGAAACUGUCAGGCUAGAGUGCAGAAGAGGAGAGUGGAAUUCCAUGUGUAGCGGUGGAAUACGUAGAUAUAUGGAAGAACACCAGUGGCGAAGGCGGCUCUCUGGUCUGCAACUGACGCUGAGGCUCGAAAGCAUGGGUAGCGAACAGG
rnacentral:rRNA from 1 species